AUGGACCUCUCCGGGCUUGAUGUCCCGUUCACCUGGGCUGAGAUCGUUAAAGCUAUCAACAAAGCCCCAAAUAAUAGGGGUCCGGGACCAGAUGGGUUCACCAACGAGUUCUACAAAGUCUUCAAAAACCUGCUCAAGGAUGAUCUUCUCAGUUUCUUCGAGGAUCUGCAUAGCAACUAUGUCAGCCUUGCCGAUAUCAAUACUGCAUAUAUCACUUUGCUUCCUAAAAAGGACACACCCUUGGACAUAAAGGAUUACAGGCCCAUUUCCCUGGUUCAUAGCUUGCCAAAGCUGGCUUCUAAGGUCUUGACCAAUCGGUUGCAGAAGCAAAUCCCGGAGCUCCUACACUCCUUGCAAUCUGGGUUUCUGAAAGGACGCUCCAUUAUUGAAAAUUUUGUGCUGGCCGCGGAGCUAAUUCAGUGUGCUCACAAAAGAAAUCUGCACGUUAUCGCUUUGAAGUUGGAUUUCCACAAAGCCUUCGACAGUGUUAGCUGGGACUGUCUAAGCCAAGUCCUGGUAGCAAGGGGCUUUCCACAGCCAUGGAGGCACUGGGUCAACAACCUGCUCUCCUCUGGUAGCCCAAGGGUCAUGAUCUAUGGGGAGCUGGGCCCACCCAUCCCUGCUAAGCGUGGCUUUAGGCAGGGUGACUCUAUGUCACCUUACCUCUUUCUGUUGGUUGUAGAUGUGUUGCAACGACUAUGUUGUCUACACUUCCAAAAUGGGUUGCUGCAGCAUCCGCUUGGCGUGGACUGCUUCUUUCCUGUGCUACAAUACGUAGAUGACACAUUGAUCAUCUUCAAGGGGGAUUUGCAGCAGGCCAUGAUGAAAGUGCAACUAUCCCUAGGUGGUUUUGGUAAUUCCUAA
rnacentral:rRNA from 1 species